rnacentral:rRNA from 1 species
GACGAACGCUGGCGGCGUGCUUAACACAUGCAAGUCGAGCGGUAAGGCCCUUUCGGGGUGCACGAGCGGCGAACGGGUGAGUAACACGUGGGUGACCUGCCCUCAGCUCUGGGAUAAGCCUGGGAAACCGGGUCUAAUACCGGAUAUGACUCCAUGACGCAUGUUGUGGGGUGGAAAGCCUUGUGCGGCUGAGGAUGGGCCCGCGGCCUAUCAGCUUGUUGGUGGGGUGANGGCCUACCAAGGCGACGACGGGUAGCCGGCCUGAGAGGGCGACCGGCCACACUGGGACUGAGACACGGCCCAGACUCCUACGGGAGGCAGCAGUGGGGAAUCUUGCGCAAUGGGCGAAAAGCCUGACGCAGCGACGCCGCGUGAGGGAUGACGGCCU